GCGGUAAUACGUAGGGUGCAAGCGUUAAUCGGAAUUACUGGGCGUAAAGCGUGCGCAGGCGGUUCGGAAAGAAAGAUGUGAAAUCCCAGAGCUUAACUUUGGAACUGCAUUUUUAACUGCCGGGCUAGAGUAUGUCAGAGGGGGGUAGAAUUCCACGUGUAGCAGUGAAAUGCGUAGAGAUGUGGAGGAAUACCGAUGGCGAAGGCAGCCCCCUGGGAUAAUACUGACGCUCAUGCACGAAAGCGUGGGGAGCAAACAGGA
rnacentral:rRNA from 1 species